AGCCAAAGUGUUGAGUACAGCUUGCAUAAAAUAAAUGCAAACUGAUAAUUUACCUUUGGUAAAUAAUUUGUUAUGCAGCAAUAUAUAUUAGCCUUCAUUGUGCUAAUAUUGUUUGCUCAUAGCAUACAAAU